rnacentral:misc_RNA from 1 species
CAUGGCGCGGCCGUUGAGGAACGACAUCACGAACAUCACGCGCGCGGGCUGCUUGACGCUGUCGCGCAGUUUCUUCAGUUCCGCGAGGUCGCUGCUGACCGCCGCGGUGAGGCAUGCGCCGCGUGCGUCCGCAUCCAUCGCAUGGGCAACCAGUUUGAUUUUGUCGAGCAGCCCUUGCUCGGUGUGAGUCUCGGGAAACGACACGAACGGGAUCUUCGCGGCCUCGAUAACGUCGAGCGUUUCCUUCGGGCCGGAGCCUUCGAUUGCAAGAAUCAGUUGCGGGU